GAUCAGACCACCUUCCUCCCCACAACCACCCCCUGCUCUCCCCCUCAAGAGCUUUAGGACCACAAAGUGAGGACGGGGACACAGCUGCGUGGGGAGGGGCCAGGCCAAGACAGGAGGAGGCGAUGGGGCCAGCCCAACAGGUCUGGCAAAGCUUGGGCAGAUGAUCACCUCUUUUGGGAGGACUCCAUGAUACAUCAGGCCAAAUGAAUCCAAUCCACCAGCCUCUGGAACUGCUUUCGUCCAUGUACUUAUGUGUUCUGCCUUCCAUGAUGGAUAUUCAUGGUCUGUCUGCCCCACUAGGCAGCAGCUCCUGAGGACAGGAACUAAACCUCUUUAAAAUGCCUUCAAAAACCCUGCCAUGCACCCUGAUACAGCCCUAGUUAGUGUACAUAUUAUUAUCAGGUUUCUGAAGAUAAUCCAGGAACACCUAUUGUAUCAGUCAGCUACUGCUGCAUAACAAAUUAUACCAAACUCAGUGGCCUAAAACAACACAUGUCUUUGUGAUAUGACUGGUGAAAUAAAUUAAGCAAAAACAAA